rnacentral:rRNA from 1 species
GCUAACCCCGCCUGAAAAGGCGCCUACGGUUAAAUCUUAUCGGGAUUGAUCCGCUGGAAUCGUUCUAAACGGUUGGUAAUAAGUGUAGGGUUCUAUUCCGGAGAGGGAGCCUGAGAAACGGUACCACAUCCAAGGAAGGCAGCAGGCGCGCAAAUUACCCAAUCCCGACACGGGGAGGUAGUGACAAUAAAUAACAAUAUAGGGCUCUUUCGGGUCUUAUAAUUGGAAUGAGUACAAUUUAAAUCUCUUAACGAGGAACAAUUGGAGGGCAAGUCUGGUGCCAGCAGCCGGGUAAUUCCAGCUCCCAAUAGCGUAUAUCAAAGUUGUGCAGUUAAAAAGCUCGUAGUUGACUUCAGACUGGUCGAGUGGU